GACGAACGCUGGCGGCGUGCUUAACACAUGCAAGUCGAACGGAAAGGCCCUGCUUUUGUGGCGUGCUCGUGAGGCGAACGGGGGUGUAACACGUGAGUAACCUGUCCUUGACUGUGGGAUAACAUCAGGAAACAGGGGCGAAUACCGGAUAUGAUAUCCUGCUGCAUGGUGGUGGAUGGAAAGUGUCGGCGGUUGGGGAUGGACUCGCGGCUUAUCAGCCUGUUGGUGGGGUAGUGGCUUACCAAGGAUUUGACGGGUAGCCAGCCUGAGAGGGUGACCGGCCACAUUGGCACUGAGAUAGCGCCCAUACUGAAACGGGCGGGAGGAGCGAGGACCAGAGCGCGAAGCGCGGAAGCAGGAUGCAGGAACGCCGGGUGCGAGAAGACGGUUUUCGGGGGGGAAACAAUUUGCGAGUAUCACGGAGCGUGAUGACGGGAACUGAGUAAAAAGGCACGGGUAAAUUACGG
rnacentral:rRNA from 1 species